UAACUAUUCAUAUUUUUAAACAUCUUUAGGCUUGAAAAUUCAAGAAAUGAUAUUUAGGGCAUUCCAAACAGAUAUAACUUCAUAUUAACUUUGACAUUUUACAGAUAUCUUCCAAUUUUUUUUUUUUUUUUUUUUGAGAUGGAGUCUUGCUCUGUCGCGAUCUGUAUCAUGGAGUUCAAACUGAACAGGAUUUUGUCAUCUGCACCACUCAAGCGGCCACAAUUUCCCCAGUUUUGUCUGGCACCCAAAACACUCCACUAUGACACUGGCAUUUAUAAUUUCAGCCUCAUCACCCACUGCCCCCUGUUGGAAUCCUGUUCUCCCCUGAGACUUCCCUCUGAAUGCACCCUACUUAUUUAUAAGGCUGAACAACUGCUCCAUCCCCCUGCUCCCAUCAUUAAUAUGGAUGGUCCCCACUAUCUCUGUGGUCACUACUGGGAUCAAAGUCACGUAGGCACCAUCAAAGUAGCCAAAGGUACAAGAGAAAGGCACGAGCAGAGGGAGACUUUGAAGCAUUGGGAGGCAGAGAUAGCAGAGCCCAUCCAUUCCCACGGCAAAGAGGUAGCAAACAUACUGGUAAUUCUUCAGACACCUGUAGAUUUGAAGAACAAGAAUAAGUGCAGGAGGUACACAUUCUGUAAAAGAGCUUUAGAGCCACGGCUAUGCAGCAGUAAGCAUUGCAGUUAUUUACAGAGAUGGCUUUCCCAUUGUGUGUUAUGUAUGCUGUCUUCCUAUCUUUCUUUUUUGCAAAUGCAAGAAUUCAUCUCUCCAGGAAGCAUGGUGUGGUAGAAAGAAUAUAUACUUCAAAAUUAGAAAGGUAGAAUAUUAAAACUAAUCCUGCCACUCACUGCCUGCCUAACUCAAUUUCUUUAGCUAUAAAAUGGAAAGGUUACUUAUCUCACAGGGUUACUCUGAAAGUAGUCGUGAAAUAAAAUAGAAAUAAAAUGUAAAAUGGAGUCUCCAAUCUUUUGGCUUCCCUGGGCCACAUUGGAAGAAGAAUUGUCUUGGGCCACACAUAAAAUAAACUAACACUAAUGAUAGCUGAUGAAAAAAAAGAAAGAAAGGAAAGGAAAGGAGGAAGGAAGGAAGGAAGGAAGGAAAUAAGGAGAAAGAAAGAAAAGAAAGAAAGAAAUAAAGAAAAAGAAAGAAAGAAAGAGAAAGAAAGAAAAAGAAAGAAAGAAUGCAUAAAUCUCAAAAUGUUGUAAGAAAGUUUACAAAUUUGUGUUGGACCACAUUCAAAGCCAUCCCAGGCCACAGGCAGCCCAUGCGCCGCAGGUUGGACAAGC
rnacentral:lncRNA from 1 species